UGCGACAUUCACCGCCGGGCUAGAAGGAGAGAGGCGGCAGCCGCAGCCAAUCGCCGCCCCGCCAGCCGGUGACGCACAGGGGCGAGGCCCUGAGCCCGGAGGCCUUCGUGCCCUCAGCGCGGCGGCCCGUGGCAGCCAAUGGGCAGGGGCGGCGGCGGCAGCAGCUGCAGCAGACCCUCACGGGGCCCGAAAGGAGCAGGGGAUAGGCUGGCCCCGCCCCACGCCAGUGGCAGCUGUCUAUUGCUAGAGCUCGCAGGUGGAGGUGGUGGCUCUGCGCUCCCUGUGGGGGGCUGUUGUCCAUCCCGAUUCUAGCCGCAGAGAUGGGUGGUGGCAGCGGAGACCGCGGUGCCAUCCCGCCCCGGCCUCCCGUCAGCGCUGGCCGUCGCGCAGCUCGGCACUCCAGUUGCCGAGAGCCCCGAUGCGGCUGGCGAGGAGUGAGCGGAGAUACGGUACCUAAGUGGCCCCAGCUUGUCCAAACACAGGCUGCCGAACAUCCCCGUACAAGGGGACUCUUCGCCGCCAGCUGCAUGAGGUUCUGGGGGGACGUCCGAGAAAGGAACCAAUAGACACCUCAGCACAAGCUCUUGCCGGAAAAGAGGGUUUCUUACUAGGAAAAGGAGUCCUUUAACAUUCCGUAGUAUUUUGUAUGUUGAUUGUCUAUAGGAAAGCGUAACUUUUUUAUGUAAUAAGGGCGGGAGGGAAUCCUGUAGGAAAGAGCAAACAAACCAUAACCUUAUUUCCUUGUUCAAGUGCUUUUGCUAGAGCCACUGUUAAUAUAUAGUAUCUCAGAAACAGUUCCUUAAUGAACACACAUGACUCAAAUGAAACUCAAGCUUUAGCAUGAAUGCACACUUUUUGUAUGCAUACCCAUAUGGCUUGUAUUGUUGCAACACUGAAAAUACCAAACUAUUUGAAUAAUUCACUGCAGUGGUGUGAAAAAAUUACUAUUGCUUCAUAAUUUGUAUUUUUUGCCUGCUUCUAUUAAUAAUUUUGCCACCAUGCACUUUAUAUGGUAACUCUAGUAAUACAGCAAUUGACCAUACAAACACUCAACAGCAGAUUUAGAAGCUACUUUAUCAUUGUCUACAUUAAAGAGCCCUUUGAGUUCUUAAGAAACCUAUGACUUAGCUCUUGUCAAAUAUAGAGUGUAGGAAAAAUCCUGCCUUAGUAUUUUUACUAAAAAAGAGGCAAUAUCAUCACACACAUGAAAAUAAGGAUUUGGAGCACUUUAGAAACAAGGACCUCACAGUAUGUCUCUUUGCAGCUUUCUCUACAGUAUCAACUGUAUCUACUCCAUCCUUGGCGGAUGUUUGCUUAAAUUCUUCUCUUCCUUAGUAACCUCUUACAACACUUUGCUAUUACUGCUAGGGACUAUUCCCAUUUGAUAGAACAGUGUAACGUGACUUAUGGUGUCUGUGGAGCCAAAAUUAUACAACUAUUUUUUAACUCUGUCAAGGAUUUUCAAGAGAGACAGAAAAUUUUCCUGGGCUCUCCUGUCUGUUUCUUUGUCCUGUUCCUACAUGUCCUAUAAAUUGUGCAGUGUGUAAAGCUUCCAGCUUUGGCACAAGGAAUCUGUUGGUGGCUGGGGCAAUCCAGAUUCAUUGGAGGCCAAAUUUCAUGCUUCUUUUAAGACCUUUGUGUUUGCUCUAUAUCAAAAAACUUGCUGGCUGAUAAUAUUUCACUUCAUCCACAUAAAAAGGGAAUUUCCAGACCCUGUAUUAAAAAGAUAUUAUAGCACUGGGGCAUACAGAAGUGAGAGGUGUGGGGUUCAGAGUGAGCCAGCAUCAAUCCUCAAAGCUAAAGGUAAAAAUUGUUCUGUGAAGAAUCAUCUGCUCAAAUAAUUUAAAAAAUCCUGUCCAGAAUAUUUUAUGGUGUAUGCUUGUGAAGAACACCAAGCCAUGAAUACAAUCCUCAAAAAAGGUGCAGACUCAUAGUGGGCAUCAGUUACAUGAAGGAUUUUUUUUUUCUUAAUUCCUAAAAUAAAUUAUAUUAAAGACUGGUAAAGGUUGCCCUUCAAAAAGUUUAGACUGGUGGCUCUCGAUCAUUAAAGAUCCUUAGAUAGUUAAAGCUCAGCUAGGCAAGAGCUUGAACAACCUCUCCAACAUCUGAGUUGACUCUGCUUUAAGGAAGAGAUGACCUCCAGAGGUCAUAUGCAAUGUGAAUUAUUCAAUGAUUCUACGAUGUAUAAAACAUCCUUUACUACUUCUUAUAAUUCUCAGGGUUUGUAUCAUAUUAUCAAAGUAUUCCUUCCUCCAUCCAUCCUCUUAAAAGAAACCAGGUGCCAUCGAUAUGAUUAAUACCUUCCAUUUCCUUUUCUGCAGGCAUAUACUGUAGUAUAAUCAUUGACCCUCCAGAAUGAAAUUAAUCAUCUGUAUGUUGGGAAGAUUUAUAUUACGAUAUUGCAUUAAAUUAUAAGAUUUUAUUUAAAAGCACACUUUGAAUUACUUGAAUCAUCCAGUUUCACCAGUUUUGAAAACUGUACCUUUCAAUUCCUUUGUGCAGCACAUGGACUGUAGCACAAGAAAAGUAGCCAUCAGCUGCAUACUUUUUCUACUUUGGCCUAAAGAAGAAAAAAAAGGGGGAACAAACAAGUUAAUGCAAAGCUCUUUAAAAAGGAAUAGAAGCUUAGAGUCAUAGAACUACUUUUAUUGGAUGCAUACACUACUGGAAAAAGUUUCUCCGGAAUGGUGAUUUGAUUAUGUAUAGUUUGGAACCAGACUUGAAAAUAAAGUAUAGCCUUUCACUGACCAAAGAGCUUCUGGCAUGUGUUUGAUUAUGUAUCUCUAGGAAUAAAAACUGUUUCCACUCAGUUUCAGGAAUUUCCUUCAUUUAGAGAUUGAACUGCCUUUUAUUCCCCUCCACUACCCCCCCCAAUUAACUAAACACUGUCAUUUCCACUAAACCACUAUUUAACAAAUGGACUAAUUUUUUAGAGAUGAGUUAUGGAAAAGGACAAUAAAUAGCAUGUUUUGCAUGUGCUAAAGUGAUCCUUGCAUGUGCUAAGUCUGUGAUCCUUGCCUUUAAUUAAAUGCCUUCCAGAGGCACAGGAUUUCCCAAUCUGCCCUGAAAGCAAGUUGCUACAGGAUUUGAAAGAUUUACAUUUGGUAAUGCAUAGCCUAAAUGAAGAGUUUAUAUAAGAAUAAAAAGAUA